ACGCUGGCGGCGUGCCUAAUACAUGCAAGUCAAACGAGAGCGACCGGUGCUUGCACUGGUCAAUCUAGUGGCGAACGGGUGAGUAACACGUGGGUAACCUGCCCAUCAGAGGGGGAUAACAUUCGGAAACGGAUGCUAAAACCGCAUAGGUCUUCGAACCGCAUGGUUUGAAGAGGAAAAGAGGCGCAAGCUUCUGCUGAUGGAUGGACCCGCGGUGCAUUAGCUAGUUGGUGAGGCAACGGCUCACCAAGGCCGUGAUGCAUAGCCGACCUGAGAGGGUGAUCGGCCACAUUGGGACUGAGACACGGCCCAAACUCCUACGGGAGGCAGCAGUAGGGAAUCUUCCGCAAUGGACGCAAGCCUGACGGAGCAACGCCGCGUGGGUGAAGAAGGUUUUCGGAUCGUAAAACUCUGUUGUUAGAGAAGAACAAGUGCUAGAGUAACUGUUCGCGCCUUGACGGUAUCUAACCAGAAAGCCACGGCUAACUACGUGCCAGCAGCCGCGGUAAUACGUAGGUGGCAAGCGUUGUCCGGAUUUAUUGGGCGUAAAGCGAGCGCAGGCGGUUCCUUAAGUCUGAUGUGAAAGUCCCCGGCUCAACCGGGGAGGGUCAUUGGAAACUGGGGAACUUGAGUGCAGAAGAGGAGAGUGGAAUUCCAUGUGUAGCGGUGAAAUGCGUAGAUAUAUGGAGGAACACCAGUGGCGAAGGCGACUCUCUGGUCUGUAACUGACGCUGAGGCUCGAAAGCGUGGGUAGCAAACAGGAUUAGAUACCCUGGUAGUCCACGCCGUAAACGAUGAGUGCUAAGUGUUGGAGGGUUUCCGCCCUUCAGUGCUGCAGUUAACGCAUUAAGCACUCCGCCUGGGGAGUACGACCGCAAGGUUGAAACUCAAAGGAAUUGACGGGGACC
rnacentral:rRNA from 1 species